rnacentral:rRNA from 1 species
UUUCCGGUUGAUCCUGCCAGGACCUGACUGCUAUCGGACUGAUAGUAAGUCCAUGCGAGUCAUUGUAGUAAUACAAGGCAGACGGCUCAGUAACGCGUAGUCAACAUACCCUAUGGACGGGAAUAACCUCGGGAAACUGAGUAUAAUGCCCGAUAGAACACUAUACCUGGAAUGGUUUGUGUUCCAAAUGAUUUAUCGCCGUAGGAUGGGACUGCGGCCUAUCAGUUUGUUGGUGAGGUAAUGGCCCACCAAGACUAUUACAGGUACGGGCUCUGAGAGGAGUAGCCCGGAGAUGGGUACUGAGACACGGACCCAGGCCCUAUGGGGCGCAGCAGGCGAGAAAACUUUGCAAUGUGCGAAAGCACGACAAGGUUAAUCCGAGUGGUUUGUGCUAAACGAACCUUUUGACAGUCCUAGAAACACUGUUGAAUAAGGGGUGGGCAAGUUCUGGUGUCAGCCGCCGCGGUAAAACCAGCACCUCAAGUGGUCAGGAUGAUUAUUGGGCCUAAAGCAUCCGUAGCCGGCUCUGUAAGUUUUCGGUUAAAUCUGUACGCUCAACGUACAGGCUGCCGGGAAUACUGCAGAGCUAGGGAGUGGGAGAGGUAGACGGUACUCGGUAGGAAGGGGUAAAAUCCUUUGAUCUAUUGAUGACCACCUGUGGCGAAGGCGGUCUACCAGAACACGUCCGACGGUGAGGGAUGAAAGCUGGGGGAGCAAACCGGAUUAGAUACCCGGGUAGUCCCAGCUGUAAACUAUGCAAACUCAGUGAUGCAUUGGCUUGUGGCCAAUGCAGUGCUGCAGGGAAGCCGUUAAGUUUGCCGCCUGGGAAGUACGUACGCAAGUAUGAAACUUAAAGGAAUUGGCGGGGGAGCACCACAAGGGGUGAAGCCUGCGGUUCAAUUGGAUUCAACGCCGGG